rnacentral:tRNA from 3 species
UCCCCUGUAGCUCAAUUGGCAGAGCGUCGGACUGUUAAUCCGUAGGUUCCUGGUUCGAGUCCAGGCGGGGGAGCCA